GAACUCUGCCCUCUUUCUGGCACCUUCGGUCGUCCUUUCCCCUUGUUCAGUCAGAUGGUGUCAGAAGCAGCCUUCCUCCCGCGUGCCUCAGUUUCUGAGAUUCCGUGUCACCAGAACCCCAUGUCUGUCAGGCUGUCAACAUUCCCAAAGAAAACACAGCGGCACCGAAGCCUUUGAUUGAUCCCAUAUGUCUGGCGUGGCGCUGCAGAGGCAUUCACUGGAGAUGAAUCCAGAUACCAGGAGUGCCAAGAGUUCUAGUCUACUUUGAUUGGAGUUGUUCAUUGGGAGCUCCCUAUACUGAUGUAAUCUCAAGACUGCGCAACACACACCCAUGUUUAUACGAAGUCCAGGACACAACACCAAAGCAAUUGGAUUUUGCUACUUACAGAUAUGCGCAAUAAAGACAGAAGUGGAGUGAAAAAUAUUGACCUUGCCUCUUUGGGUUACCUUUUGUUCUGACUCAAAUUCGUUUGCCUUCUUAGGGAGAGAGGAUAUUGGGAAUGUGUAAUUUUAAGUGGGAUAAUCUUCUGAAAUCGAGGGCAACAAUCUAUGCUCAGAAAUAGAGGUAAAAAAGAAAAGGCUUAACCCAAGCCUCUGGGGAUAGUCUGACUGGCUUUGAAUUAUAGCCUCUAGCUAUGACUAAAAAGUUGCCAGCAUAUCUUCAUCAGGUAGAGGUUCUCACCACUAUAAUUUAGCAGAAUGCAAUUGUUAUGACCAGCAAGUGUCUCUGAUUAUAUGAUGCUCAGAAUCUGGUAGCAAGGAGUCUCCUUUAGAGACUAUAGAUGCCCAGUAGUUAUAAUGAAACCAGUAUGUACCAGAAGAGCAAUAUGUCCAGUGGAAAUGCCAAAUCCAGUAGGAAGCAAAGCCUACAGAAAGCAGCACAAAGAUAUCACCAAAACAAAUACAUGUACUGCACCUUUUCUACAAGUAUUUCCUGGUCAUACAUGUUCAUUUUAAUGUGCCGCAUCACGCAUAAUCCCUUUGCAUGUUCACUGUCCACAUAGGUAUAUAUAUGUCUGUGGUUUGAGUUGGA